GAAAUGCGAUAAGUAAUGUGAAUUGCAGAAUUCAGUGAAUCAUCGAAUCUUUGAACGCACCUUGCGCUCCUUGGUAUUCCUUGGAGCAUGCCUGUUUGAGUAUCAUGAAAUCUUCAAAGUAAAUCUUUUGUUAACUCAAUUGGUUUCUACUUUGGUAUUGGAGGUCUUUGCAGCUUCACACCUGCUCCUCUUUGUUCAUUAGCUGGAUCUCAGUGUUAUGCUUGGUUCCACUCGGCGUGAUAAGUUAUCUAUCGCUGAGGACACUGUAAAAGGUGGCCAAGGUAAAUGCAGAUGAACAGCUUCUAAUAGUCCAUUGACUUGGACAAUACUUUUAUGAUCUGAUCUCAAAUCAGGUAGGACUACCCGCUGAACUUAAGCA
rnacentral:misc_RNA from 1 species